AAGAGUUACAGAGGGACCAUUACAAUUUUGUAGAGGGCAAGGAAAUUUCUAUUUAUGCGUAUACAUAUAUUAGUUUUAAAGGAGCCCUUUUGUCAACUUCGCCCAAGGGCCCUGAAAAACAUAGGGCCGGCCCUGGCGCGCAGCCGCGGGCGCCUGGAUUCGUACGGGCCGCCGCGGCCGCCUGGAGUCGUACGGGCCGCCGCCUACCGGAAUCGCGCCGCCGCGCCUGAAUUCCUCUCACCCCCGGCCGUCUGGUUUCUCAUCUCUCCACCGCCGCCGUCCGUCUCCAGCAAGGUUCAGACCCGGUUAUUGCUAUACAUGUUAAGGUGGAUUUCGAAUCUCUACCUGAACUAGAUUGGAGUGUUCAAAAGACCAAUGCGUUCUACUACGGUAAGUUGAUUCUGGCUCUGCAUGAUCUUAAAUGUUCAGGCCUGGCAUGUCUGUCUCCUAACAGCAACGAGAAGAAAUCUUUUGACACCCUACUGGACUAUGCAACCUGUGGUCAUUUACAUGUGAAACAAGGUGAGUGCAAACAAUCUACGUUGAACUAAUUUGUUCCCGUAAACUUCAAACCACCAUUUUAACAUGGUACUGUUGCGGAGUAUGAGAUGUCUGCCUCAUCUGCAUGUGAAUUGGUGAAAUCUACUAAGAAGCGAGGAAGAGAUGUACUAAUGAUGGACGAUGAUUAUAGAGAGGACUUUUACCCGAUCACUCCACUUAUGGACGCAUCUGAAUAUUUUGAUGGCUGGUUGGCACAUUACUCAAUGCAGCUGAGGAAAUCCUGUUUGAGCCUGAUGCUGGGCAUCAUGGGCAAGCUGGGAGUUGUGGGAUACCCAUUUCUUAUGUAUGAUGAUAAUAAUAGUAUGUUGAAUGGCUGAAGAAAGUGAAGUUCAGUAAGUUAAAGGAUCCUGUGAAUGCUGGCAGAGAUGUCCACCACGCUAUCCACUGAUUCAAGGAAUCAAGGAAUCUCUUCUAGUGUAGAAGAUGCAAGCACAGAGUUGACCGAUAUGUUGAGAAGGACCCAACUUUAUUUCGAGUUUGCUCCUGAGGCUCUUCUUGUGUUGUUGCUUCUAGAUUGCGGUGCAUUCAGGAAAGCAGGAGAGAAACUGGAAACACUGCCUCAUGGUAAACCUCAUGACUCAAACUACAACAUUCCCCCUCAGUUUGACGCAACUUUCUCCGACAGCCACGACGCCAACACCAGUGCGAAAAUUCUUGCAACCAUCUUGCAAAUCCUGAAGGACAUUGGAACAUCAGACGCCUGGUGAGGUGACACUUCUAGAUCAGAUCAUGGAGCAUGUCUCCCUGUGCAUCGACAAUUUCCUGUGCGCGAAGGCUUAUCAGAAGGAGAGGGACCUGAGACGCAUGCCGUAUGGUAAAAUCGCUUCUGAGCUGUAUCGGGUCAGGGAGAACGGGGCUUUCCCAUCUAUGCGCUGCAAGUAUGGGUAUGGCGCGGAUAGCAUGUCCGAGCGGUUAAAACAGCUGCAAGAAGAGAGUUUAAUCUCGUCGUGCAGGCAUUGCAGAGAAUAGAGAUUGUCUAGAAGACUACGGCUGAGACUUAUCUGCGACAUUUGAUUCCUUGUGACUAUAACAUUUGUCAGGGUUCGAUUGAUUUAUUUAUGCCCCUGAUUUUUAUGAA